CCUACGGGAGGCAGCAGUGAGGAAUAUUGGUCAAUGGUCGGGAGACUGAACCAGCCAAGCCGCGUGAGGGAUGAAGGUACAGAGUAUCGUAAACCUCUUUUGUCAGGGAACAAAGGCGGGGACGCGUCCCCGGAUGAGUGUACCUGAAGAAAAAGCAUCGGCUAACUCCGUGCCAGCAGCCGCGGUAAUACGGAGGAUGCGAGCGUUUUCCGGAUUUAUUGGGUUUAAAGGGUGCGCAGGCGGUCUGUUAAGUCAGCGGUCAAACCCCGGGGCUCAACCCCGGCCCGCCGUUGAAACUGGCAGUCUCGAGUUGGAGAGAAGUAUGCGGAAUGAGCGGUGUAGCGGUGAAAUGCAUAGAUAGCGCGCAGAACUCCGAUUGCGAAGGCAGCAUGCCGGCUCCACACUGACGCUGAGGCACGAAAGCGUGGGUAUCGAACAGGAUUAGAUACCCCUGUAGUC
rnacentral:rRNA from 1 species